rnacentral:rRNA from 1 species
AACGAACGCUGGCGGCAGGCUUAACACAUGCCAGUCGAACGCCCCGCCAGGGGAGUGGCAGACGGGUGAGUAACGCGUGGGAACAUACCCUUUUCUACGGAAUAGCUCUGGGAAACUGGAAUUAAUACCGUAUACGCCCUACGGGGGAAAGAUUUAUCGGGGAAGGAUUGGCCCGCGUUGGAUUAGCUAGUUGGUGGGGUAAAGGCCUACCAAGGCGACGAUCCAUAGCUGGUCUGAGAGGAUGAUCAGCCACAUUGGGACUGAGACACGGCCCAAACUCCUACGGGAGGCAGCAGUGGGGAAUAUUGGACAAUGGGCGUAAGCCUGAUCCAGCCAUGCCGCGUGAGUGAUGAAGGCCUUAGGGUUGUAAAGCUCUUUCACCGAUGAAGAUAAUGACGGUAGUCGGAGAAGAAGCCCCGGCUAACUUCGUG